CCUACGGGGGCAGCAGUGGGGAAUAUUGGACAAUGGGCGAAAGCCUGAUCCAGCCAUGCCGCGUGUGUGAAGAAGGCCUUCGGGUUGUAAAGCACUUUCAGUGGGGAAGAAAGCCUUGGGGCUAAUACCCUCGAGGAAGGACAUCACCCACAGAAGAAGCACCGGCUAACUCUGUGCCAGCAGCCGCGGUAAUACGGAGGGUGCGAGCGUUAAUCGGAAUUACUGGGCGUAAAGCGCGCGUAGGCGGUCUGAUAAGCCGGUUGUGAAAGCCCCGGGCUCAACCUGGGAACGGCAUCCGGAACUGUCAGGCUAGAGUGCAGGAGAGGAAGGUAGAAUUCCCGGUGUAGCGGUGAAAUGCGUAGAGAUCGGGAGGAAUACCAGUGGCGAAGGCGGCCUUCUGGACUGACACUGACGCUGAGGUGCGAAAGCGUGGGUAGCAAACAGGAUUAGAUACCCUAGUAGUC
rnacentral:rRNA from 1 species